UUGAUUGGAACCGUAGAUGCAUGAACUUAGUACCUUGAUUUGAAUACUAGUUGCUAAGGUCGAGUAGUUGCAAUGCUUAAUAAGUCCCAGUAAAAGUUGCUAAUCUAGACUGGAUAAAGAACAUAGAACAUGAGCUAAAAUGUUGAAAGUAAGGACUGACUUUAGAUGCUUUUGGCAAAGAAAACCCCAGAGCCAGAAAGCCUUGCAUGUCUAGGUCUUGGUUGUGUUUUUCCCCG
rnacentral:lncRNA from 1 species